CUGCAGAAUCUAAUUCAGUAGCUUCACAACGAAAAAGGAAACAAGAAAAAUCACUAUGAAAUUUUCCAAGAUAUUCCUUCCAAUCCUCGCCUUGUUGGUGGCGUCACUCUUCUCAGUCCAGGGAGCGGGUGAGCAAGCAGGAAAAGGCAAAGAGGCCAAGUGGUUUUUCCCCGGAUUUUGGAUUCCUCUUCCAAGUUUGAACCCCUCCACAACCACUGUCGCCCCCACAACCACGCCAACAACCACAACGACAUAAAAGGCUCCAAAAAGGCAGUCAAAUUGUACAUUUAUUAAUCCAAACAAAGAAUCAGGAAUAUAAAACAAAAUUAAUUCGUGUACAAUUAAAAUAUGCAGACAAAGAUGCAUAUAUGUAUUUUGGCUAGCUCAAUUCUGAUCAAUCACACGAUUAAAGCAAAAGCCCAUCGAAAUUUUAUGUGACAUUCAAUACUAAAGGUUAAGGCGUUCCUAUAAGAUCAUUUUGCCACUAUCAUAGUUUCAUAACGGCGGGAUCCCGGCCUUGAAACUGAUAGUUCCACAUAUGUUCAGUAACUCAAUAGCUUUACAAAUUUUCAUACACGGUUAAAUUCGGUUAAAUAAUGGGUCCAAAAAUAAAUCCCAAAGUCAAAUUAACACGUGUAAAAUUGUGUUUUGUAAAAUAUUUUUUUCAAACAAAAUCUGGACUAUUUCGCGUCCACCGAGAAUUUUAGUGUGAACAUUCAUAUCCUUAGUGUCCAUUUGUUAGGUUCCUUUUCACUGAGAUCUUUGAAAUAUAGGGAAUAAAAUUGGUAACCAAUUCAGAAUAUUAUGCUCCAAAUAUUGUGAUAGACAAAUAAACAAUUGUAAUUCGAA